AGACCCGAAACCCGGUGAUCUAGCCAUGGGCAGGUUGAAGGUUGGGUAACACUAACUGGAGGACCGAACCGACUAAUGUUGAAAAAUUAGCGGAUGACCUGUGGCUGGGGGUGAAAGGCCAAUCAAACCGGGAGAUAGCUGGUUCUCCCCGAAAGCUAUUUAGGUAGCGCCUCGUGAAUUCAUCUCCGGGGGUAGAGCACUGUUUCGGCUAGGGGGCCAUCCCGGCUUACCAACCCGAUGCAAACUGCGAAUACCGGAGAAUGUUAUCACGGGAGACACACGGCGGGUGCUAACGUCCGUCGUGAAGAGGGAAACAACCCAGACCGCCAGCUAAGGUCCCAAAGUCAUGGUUAAGUGGGAAACGAUGUGGGAAGGCCCAGACAGCCAGGAUGUUGGCUUAGAAGCAGCCAUCAUUUAAAGAAAGCGUAAUAGCUCACUGGUCGAGUCGGCCUGCGCGGAAGAUGUAACGGGGCUAAACCAUGCACCGAAGCUGCGGCAGCGAACGUAUCACCCAAGACAACUUUGCGGAGUUGACGAUUGACGGAGCGAAGCGACGUCAAAGCGUUCAUUAAAGUCGAGUUGGCUUAGGGAUACGU
rnacentral:rRNA from 1 species